rnacentral:rRNA from 1 species
UGGGGAAUAUUGCACAAUGGGCGCAAGCCCGAUGCAGCGACGCCGCGUGCGGGAUGGAGGCCUUCGGGUUGUAAACCGCUUUGUUCAAGGGCAAGGCAGGCUUUCGGGCCUGUUGAGUGGAUUGUUCGAAUAAGCACCGGCUAACUACGUGCC